rnacentral:tRNA from 1 species
GCCGGGAUGGUGGAAUUGGCAGACACAACGGACUUAAAAUCCGUUGCUCUUUUUGGGCGUGAGGGUUCAAGUCCCUCUCCCGGCACCA